rnacentral:rRNA from 1 species
GGAAGGGGUGUAUUUAUUAGAUAAAAAACCAACGCCCUUCGGGGCUCCUUGGUGAAUCAUAAUAACUUAACGAAUCGCAUGGCCUUGCGCCGGCGAUGGUUCAUUCAAAUUUCUGCCCUAUCAACUUUCGAUGGUAGGAUAGUGGCCUACCAUGGUGGCAACGGGUAACGGGGAAUUAGGGUUCGAUUCCGGAGAGGGAGCCUGAGAAACGGCUACCACAUCCAAGGAAGGCAGCAGGCGCGCAAAUUACCCAAUCCCGAUACGGGGAGGUAGUGACAAUAAAUACUGAUACGGGGCUCUUUUGGGUCUCGUAAUUGGAAUGAGAACAAUUUAAAUCCCUUAACGAGGAACAAUUGGAGGGCAAGUCUGGUGCCAGCAGCCGCGGUAAUUCCAGCUCCAAUAGCGUAUAUUAAAGUUGUUGCAGUUAAAAAGCUCGUAGUUCAACCUUGGGCCUGGCUGGCCGGUCCGCCUCACCGCGAGUACUGGUCCGGCUGGGCCUUUCCUUCUGGGGAACCUCAUGGCCUUCACUGGCUGUGGGGGGAACCAGGACUUUUAC